rnacentral:rRNA from 1 species
UUGCUGGGUGGAUUAGUGGCGAACGGGUGAGUAACACGUGAGUAACCUGCCCCUGACUCUGGGAUAAGCGUUGGAAACGACGUCUAAUACUGGAUAUGAUCACUGGCCGCAUGGUCUGGUGGUGGAAAGAUUUUUUGGUUGGGGAUGGACUCGCGGCCUAUCAGCUUGUUGGUGAGGUAAUGGCUCACCAAGGCGACGACGGGUAGCCGGCCUGAGAGGGUGACCGGCCACACUGGGACUGAGACACGGCCCAGACUCCUACGGGAGGCAGCAGUGGGGAAUAUUGCACAAUGGGCGAAAGCCUGAUGCAGCAACGCCGCGUGAGGGAUGACGGCCUUCGGGUUGUAAACCUCUUUUAGUAGGGAAGAAGCGAAAGUGACGGUACCUGCAGAAAAAGCACCGGCUAACUACGUGCCAG